rnacentral:rRNA from 1 species
AUCUGCCUGGUAGUGGGGGACAACGUUUCGAAAGGAACGCUAAUACCGCAUACGUCCUACGGGAGAAAGCAGGGGACCUUCGGGCCUUGCGCUAUCAGAUGAGCCUAGGUCGGAUUAGCUAGUUGGUGAGGUAAUGGCUCACCAAGGCGACGAUCCGUAACUGGUCUGAGAGGAUGAUCAGUCACACUGGAACUGAGACACGGUCCAGACUCCUACGGGAGGCAGCAGUGGGGAAUAUUGGACAAUGGGCGAAAGCCUGAUCCAGCCAUGCCGCGUGUGUGAAGAAGGUCUUCGGAUUGUAAAGCACUUUAAGUUGGGAGGAAGGGUUGUAGAUUAAUACUCUGCAAUUUUGACGUUACCGACAGAAUAAGCACCGGCUAACUCUGUGCCAGCAGCCGCGGUAAUACAGAGGGUGCAAGCGUUAAUCGGAAUUACUGGGCGUAAAGCGCGCGUAGGUGGUUCGUUAAGUUGGAUGUGAAAUCCCCGGGCUCAACCUGGGAACUGCAUCCAAAACUGGCGAGCUAGAGUAUGGUAGAGGGUGGUGG